GGAACCAAUGUCCGACAUUAAAAAAGUUUUCAAAAUAAAAUAAGAAUAUUUUCUGACUUCUGAACGCAUUCGAACCAUAAACUAUAGACCAGGGUUAUCUAGCUGUCAUUGCGGAUGACGUUUCAUACAUUCGGCCAUUUUGUACAAAAUGGCGUAAUGAUAUGUUUCGUCCGCGGUAGAUCUCGAAAGAAAUCCAGUUUUAUUAGUGAAAUCGCUAAGGAGGUAGCAGGCAUGGCGCCUAAAAAAAAUUACACGCCUCUUCAAAUGGCCCAGGCGGUAGAAGCAGUCAGAAAAGGUGAGAAAACUGCAACUGCUGCAAAGAAGUUUGGUGUACCCAGAAUUACAUUACAUGAUAAGAUUUCCGGUAAGACUCCAGUUGAAUGUUCCAUGGGCCCUAAAACAUAUUUGUCAACGGAAGAGGAGGCUAUUUUAGAAAAAUGGGUACUUGAAAUGGCUGAAAAACACAUUCCCGUUACUAGAGAUGAGCUCCUCGAUAGCGUACAACGUAUCAUAAUUGAUCAGGAUAAAACAACCCCAUUUACUGACAAUAGACCGGGAAAGAAAUGGUACAACCUUUUUCUAAACAGACAUCCUAUAUUGUCUGAAAGAACGGCACAAAAUUUAACGACAGCUCGAGAUGCUGUUACAGAAGAGCAUUUAAGGCGGUGGUUUGAAGAAGUUGAAUCUUAUCUACGCCAAAAUGAUCUCAAAGAUGUAUUAGAACAGCCGGCAAGAAUAUUCAACACAGACGAAAGUGCCUUUUUUUUGUCGCCUAAGGCUGGUAAAGUUCUUGCAAAAAAAGGUGACAAACAUAUCUACCAAUCCUCCGGAGACGAAAAAGAUAAUUUGACAGUACUAAUUACUGGAAAUGCCGCUGGACAAUUGGCACCACCCAUGGUAGUAUUUGCAUAUGAGAGAAUCCCGGCCAUAAUUUCAUCCCAGUUUCCUGAAGAUUGGGCAAUUGGACGUUCACAGAGUGGCUGGAUGUGUGGCAGCACGUUUUAUGAAUACAUAGUGAACGUUUUUGAUCCAUGGUUAUUACAGCAAAAUAUCCAAAAACCCGUAGUGUUCUUUUUGGACGGUCAUCGAUCGCAUAUGACCCUGCAUUUGUCGAUGUUUUGUGCUCAAAAUGGCAUAGAAAUCAUAGCAUUACACCCAAACAGUACGCACAUUUUACAGCCAAUGGAUUUGGCUAUAUUCAGACCACUGAAAUCAUUCUGGAAAAAAGCAGUAAAAGACUGGAAACUACAAAACUUAGGACACAAUUUAACAAAAGAUAAAUUUGCCCCUGUCCUUAAAACAGCGUUGCAAUCGCUCACUGAUGAUUCCAUUAAGAAUGGUUUUCGCGCUGGCGGUUUGUAUCCUUUUGGCCCAGACUACAUCGAUCUAACUAAAAUAAAAUCUCGACAAAACCCGCAAGUUGCAACAGAACAGGCACUCUUUGUUAAUUUCUUGGAAAAGGAAAUAGUGGCAAAAUUGGGGACAGAAAAGUUGCAGUUUUUCAAUGAACUCUUUUAUAAAGGUCGAGAUGAAUUAAAUUCUCGGUUAAAUGAGGAAGACACGUCACUGUAUAUAAUAUGGGCUAGCAAUAAACAGAGAGUUCAACGUACAGCUCACGUUGUUGAACGAUCAGUACAAGCUGAAAUUAACUUGAUUCAAGAAGAUGUUUCCAAUCUAGUGGAAAAUUGUGACAACAAUGGUGCAAAUUCAGGCCCUUUAAAUGAAACCAGAACGUCUAAUAAUUCUACAUCGAAUAUACUGACAAACCUAACUAGUGGACAAGAAUCAAAAGAAACAACAAAUAACACCUCAAUUAUUGAUAAGCCGAGUUGUUCUAACAUAACAGAUUCAGUUACAAUACCUUCGACAUUUUGCUCUUCAACUUCAGCUGCGGCAGAAUCCACAACUGUAAAAGAGACGACCAGACCAGAACCAAAAGAAAACUUUAAUGACGUGUUAAUUGUUAAUGAGCAAAGUUCUUCCAACCAAUUAGUAAAUCCACUUCAGACUGCUGCCAAUGCCUGCACUUCAACAUUUACCCUCAAUGAGAAUUCUGUAGUAAAAAUAAUAUCUUCAAAAGAGACGAUCACACUUGAAUCCAAAGAAAAGACUAAUGAAGCUUUGAUAAUUAAUCAGCCAAGUUCAUCGAAGCAAGCAAGAGGCUUACUUCAGAUAUCUUCAACUUCUUCAUUGUGUGUUCUUCAAAGUGCUGCAGAAAAAACACCUUUAAAAGAGAUGAUGAGCAUUAAUACAUCAAAAACUGUUGCAAAUAAAGUGGGAAAUACAUAUAUUCCAUCGCCAUUUAAACGAAAUUUAUUUUGGCCCGGAGAAGAUGAAGAUAAAAAAGGAAAAAAAAGAAGAUUAAGAGAAAAAAUUCCUUUUGCCAUCACAAGUAAAACGUGGAGGGAUUAUCAUGAAGUGAAAGAGAACCAAAAAAGAGAAGCAGCAAAACUAAAAGAAAUUAAAGCCCAAGAAAGAGUAGAGAAAAGACAGUUAAAACAGAGAGAAAUGGAAAACAAAAAGCAAAAUAGAAUAAAAGAUAAAGAACAUAAGAAGAAAAAACGAAAUACAACACCAAAACCGAAACCAAAUGAUACAUCGUCGGACAAUACAGACACCGAGGUAAACUAUGCAGAAAGUGAAGAUAGCUACAACAUGGAAAUCGAACAAGAACUAACAGACGAAGAAAUACCAUUGAGCAAAUAUUCUAAGCCAGCAAAAACAUAUUCUAGUGGAGAUUAUGUUAUAAUCCAAUACGAAGGAGAAUUUUUCCCAGGCGAAAUUAAAAAUGUUAAUAAUAACAAAUUUGAAAUUAGCACCAUGACCUUUUCUGUGGGUAACACGUUCAAAUGGCCGGAAAAAGAAGAUAAAAUCUGGUACCAAAAGUCUGACAUAGUCAAAGCAAUUUCAAAACCAACGCUAUGCAAUAAAAGAGGUUUUUAUACGAUACCAGAAAUGAAAGAAUAUCUGCCUUUCACAAUGUAAGGUAUUAAGUAUUUAAUUUAAUGUUCUUCAGAAAACAUUUAACUUUCUUUGUUUUAUAGAUUUUUAAGCCAAACAACUAUUAAUUAAGUGGUAGACUAAAACGAGUCUGUGAUCAAAACCUGCCAUAAAUUUAUUAUUAAAUAAUAAAUAGGUACCUACUUAAUAAUAUUGUAAUUCCAAGUGGAAAAAUCAUAAGAAGUAUGUUAAUUUUAUAUGCCACUGAGAAGAUCUCAUUAAGUUUUGUUGAUUAGUAUUAAGCAAGUAGAUGAAACUUAGUAUUAGUAACCUACUUAUGUAACAAAAAUGUGAUUAAAAGUAGUUGACAUAAUAAACAAGAAAAAACUAUUUUAUAAUAUGUAUAGAUGAUUAAAAAAAUUAAAACAUUAACACCAUACCGUUAAAAUUAUUAGUUACUUAAGUACUACAAUUACCAAAGCAUUACAUGCCAAAAUGUCCUUGUUUUUAUUUAGCGAAAAUAAAAUGAUUAAAAGACUGA